CGACUGGACGGGACGGACGAGAGCGUGCGCGCGGGGUCACCCGGCGGCCGCCCGGUUCCUGCCAUGCCCGGCGGCCCCAGUCCCCGCAGCCCCGCGCCUUUGCUGCGCCCCCUCCUCCUGCUCCUCUGCGCUCUGGCUCCCGGCGCCCCCGGACCCGCACCAGGACGUGCAACCGAGGGCCGGGCGGCACUGGACAUCGUGCACCCGGUUCGAGUCGACGCGGGGGGCUCCUUCCUGUCCUACGAGCUGUGGCCCCGCGCACUGCGCAAGCGGGAUGUAUCUGUGCGCCGAGACGCGCCCGCCUUCUACGAGCUACAAUACCGCGGGCGCGAGCUGCGCUUCAACCUGACCGCCAAUCAGCACCUGCUGGCGCCCGGCUUUGUGAGCGAGACGCGGCGGCGCGGCGGCCUGGGCCGCGCGCACAUCCGGGCCCACACCCCGGCUUGCCACCUGCUUGGCGAGGUGCAGGACCCUGAGCUCGAGGGUGGCCUGGCGGCCAUCAGCGCCUGCGACGGCCUGAAAGGUGUGUUCCAGCUCUCCAACGAGGACUACUUCAUUCAGCCCCUGGACAGUGCCCCGGCCCGGCCUGGCCAUGCCCAGCCCCAUGUGGUGUACAAGCGUCAGGCCCCGGAGAGGCUGGCACAGCGGGGUGAUUCCAGUGCUCCAAGCACCUGUGGAGUGCAAGUGUACCCAGAGCUGGAGCCUCGACGGGAGCGUUGGGAGCAGCGGCAGCAGUGGCGGCGGCCACGGCUGAGGCGUCUACACCAGCGGUCGGUCAGCAAAGAGAAGUGGGUGGAGACCCUGGUGGUAGCUGAUGCCAAAAUGGUGGAGUACCACGGACAGCCACAGGUUGAGAGCUAUGUGCUGACCAUCAUGAACAUGGUGGCUGGCCUGUUUCAUGACCCCAGCAUUGGGAACCCCAUCCACAUCACCAUUGUGCGCCUGGUCCUGCUGGAAGAUGAGGAGGAGGACCUAAAGAUCACGCACCAUGCAGACAACACCCUGAAGAGCUUCUGCAAGUGGCAGAAAAGCAUCAACAUGAAGGGGGACGCCCAUCCCCUGCACCAUGACACCGCCAUCCUGCUCACCAGGAAGGACCUGUGUGCAGCCAUGAACCGGCCCUGUGAGACCCUGGGACUGUCCCAUGUGGCGGGCAUGUGCCAGCCGCACCGCAGCUGCAGCAUCAACGAGGACACGGGCCUGCCGCUGGCCUUCACUGUAGCCCACGAGCUCGGGCACAGCUCCUGUACGACGCCGCUCCCCUCACCUGGUCCCGCUGCAGCCGCCAGUAUAUCACCAGGUUCCUUGAGUGUGCAGAGGCAGAGUGUGUACUGCUUGGAGCGGCAGGCAGGGCCCGUGGACGAGGAGCACUGUGACCCCCUGGGCCGGCCCGAUGACCAACAGAGGAAGUGCAGUGAGCAGCCCUGCCCUGCCAGUGCUCAGUGACAUGUGGGGAGGGCACUCAGCGCCGAAAUGUCCUCUGCACCAAUGACACCGGUGUCCCCUGUGACGAGGCCCAGCAGCCAGCCAGCGAAGUCACCUGCUCUCUGCCACUCUGUCGGUGGCCCCUGGGCACACUGGGCCCUGAAGGCUCAGGCAGCGGCUCCUCCAGCCACGAGCUCUUCAAUGAGGCUGACUUCAUCCCGCGCCACCUG
rnacentral:sRNA from 1 species